rnacentral:rRNA from 1 species
UACAGAGAGUGCGAACGUUGUUCGGAAUUACUGGGCUUAAAGCGCACGUAGGCGGCAUCGUAAGUGUCAGGUGAAAUCCCACGGCUCACCCGUGGAACUGCCCGGCAGACUGCGAUGCUCGAGUGUGGUAGGGGAGAACGGAACUCCUGGUGGAGCGGUGAAAUGCGUAGAUAUCAGGAGGAACACCGGUGGCGAAGGCGGUUCUCUGGUCCACAACUGACGCUGAGGUGCGAAAGCCAGGGGAGCAAACGGG